rnacentral:rRNA from 1 species
CCCUUAGAUGUUCUGGGCUGCACGCGCGCUACACUGAUGCGCUCAACGAGUUUACGAACUUGCCCGGAAGGGUUGGUUAAUCUUUUUAAAACGCAUCGUGAUGGGGAUAGAUUAUUGCAAUUAUUAAUCUUCAACGAGGAAUUCCUAGUAAGCGCGAGUCAUCAGCUCGCACUGAUUACGUCCCUGCCCUUUGUACACACCGCCCGUCGCUCCUACCGAUUGAAUGGUCCGGUGAAGCGUUCGGACCGUGGCCUUUGGACGGUUCGCCGUCUGUUGGCUGCGGGAAGUUCGUUAAACCUUAUCAUUUAGAGGAAGGAGAAGUCGUANCA